AACGGACACCAGAACAUCUCAAUUCUCUGUUUGGUGUUCAAAAUGAAAAGAAAAUAGACCUUAUUAUCCAUCCGGAGGAAGAGACAUCUCACAACUCAAAACCCAAGACAAACGAGCACAAACUCUUGGGAAACUAUCCCUUUGGUUACAACCAACGAACUGCAGAACACCUACAGUCGCUGUUUGGUGCUGUGCAAACCACKGAGAGCCAAAGAAUUASAAAUACACAGUGUGAAGUAUCGUCUAAAAAGGCAGAAUCGAGGAAAAAMGUGCCAAUUAUUAUUGGAAGUUACCCAAAAGACUAUAAUAAAC